GCCUGAUAAAGGCAAACCUGACGAAAGUCAGGGGCGCAAAGCUACCGGUCUACGGAACCUUUCGGGUUCUAUGAUCGCGGAGCUGCCAGG
rnacentral:ncRNA from 1 species